rfam:Stegodyphus mimosarum contig122647, whole genome shotgun sequence.
GCCUUCGUGGUGUAACGGUAGCACAUUCGGCGCACAUUCGAGAGGUCCGGGUUCGAGUCCCGGCGAGGACA